UCUGCUGCACUCCUUUGCCCCUCCUAUCUUGGACUCAACUGCUUUCCUGUGGUGCCUUCUCUAAGACUGGCUUUUAUAGUUGGGCACGGUUGCACAUGCCUGUAAUCCCAGCACUCAGGGAGGCAGAAGCAGGGGGAUCUCUGUGAGUUUGAGGCCAGCCUCAUCUACAAGCGUCAACAAAUUGUCCAUUUGGCAGCACCAAUUCUCAGCAGGAAGUCAGUGCCAAGUCUCUGAGGACAUUUGUUUCUACCUUUCCCCACGGGAUGAGGCCUCGAAGGGCUGUGACGUGUCUGCUAGCAAGCAUUGGUACAGAAGCCAAAGGCAUCUGGAGACAAGUUUUGGGCCUAAGCACAGCGUUAAGCAGGCACACGAUCAGCUGUGGUCCACCCAUCAUUUUCAUACAGGGGCCUCUCCCAGUGUUGCCUGACCACCCAGCUAGCAGAUGGACGGUCUGGAGGGCCCACGAUGGCAUUAUCAACAUGUCUGGCACCUUGGCUCAGCAGUCUGGAAAGAGUGUGCGUAUAAAUAGUGCCUCGGGAUGGCUUCCAGAUAGUUGGACUUCCUGCAUGGCAUCUCAGAGCCGCAGGAUGAUCAAAAAGAUGGCACCCUGAAGCUACCAGUCUCCUAAGGCUUAUGCCAAGAAACCAACAGAGUAUUGCUUCUGUCAUGUAAACUCGUCAAAGUUACACACACACACACACACACAAGUCUAUGCAGACUCAAGGAGAUAUAAACCCCACCUCAGUGAGAGGACUGUCAAAGGAUUUGUGUAUAUCUAUACUC